UGCAAGCAAAUCGUUUGCACCUGUGCUCCCCAAGUGACUAGAAAGGGUGGGCCCAGGGUGCAAUCACUCUGGGUUCAUACAAGGGCUGGCCACUGAAAGGAGAAUAUCACUUGGAGCUAGGCUGCUUCUUGAGGAGGAGUGCUGCGUAGCUACAGAUUCCCUUCACCAGUUGGCCUGUUGCCCCUAGCCAGAAGCCUCUCUUUGUGGGCAGAGUGAAUCUUGCUUCUUGUCAUUCACCACAAUGAGAAAGCAAAGGGUUUUAUGCCACAUGACUUGAGGACUGAAGGACAGAUGAAGAAUGUGCUAGUCAAAAUUUCAGCACUUCAUAGCAAGGUUACUGAUGCUGUUAAUAGAAGAGAAUAGGAAUGGCUAAUGAAUCAAAGUAUGGGACACUGAAAAGGUCAAAGUGGUACACUUUACUAUUAUCUUCCACAGAAUAUAUGAGCCAUUAAAAUUCUGAUGCUGCAGUCUUGUGACAAAGAAUAUAAUGAGAAGUAUAAAUAAUAAACAGCACAACAUGAAUCUCUUCCUGUGAUAAUGACUGUAACAAGCAUAAGAGAGAGAAAACCCUUAACUCUUUCCCAUUAUACUAUACUAAGGACUCGGAUAUGUGUUUCCUAAGUGUUGGUAAUUCUAGAAAAGAAAAGGGGGGGAGGGAAAAGGAAUUUUUAACUAUUACAGGAUUCAGCAAAGGAGCUGGAGUUUAAAAUUGCUAGUUUUGCUGGAUAUUUUUUCUAGGAUAUAAUAUUCUUUUUGCAAGCGAGAUAUUUGUGAAUAAAUGUGAAUAAAUAUUAUGGAUAACAUGGGUAAAAAUAAGACUGUAAGAAAGAUUGUAGAUUUGAAAUAACAUAAUUACUAGCCCUUUAUAAAACCUUCUGCAGACUCAGAUAGUUAGAAAGAUGUUAUUGAGGCAGUGUUUAAAAACAGUGUGUCAUUAAAUCUGCGGGUUUUAAAACUGCAGGUUGUAGAGAAAAAAUUAUUUUUGAUCUUCAUAAUGAUUCCCAACUCAUUUGCUGUGAGGUCUGAAAAUACAGGAGGUGUUCAUCAUGUUCAGCCAUUCUGUGGUUCUCUGAAAUACUUUUUAUAUGCCUACAUGCCUAAGAGAUUUAAAAUAUAUUUGCAUACUUAAAUACUGCGUGGUGAAGUCAUGGUAGUUCUGACCUAGUAUUUGAAGAUGAAAACUCAGAAACCUCUUUUCGUUUAAAGAUCUUAGCAGUUUACAUGUUGAGGAUCAAGAGAUGCAAAUCAGCCUUAUAUUACUGAUACUUCCCUCACAUCUCAAACUGCAUUUUAAUCUACCUGAGACCGUGCUUACCUUUCUGUAAUGAGAUUAAAACCCUAGUUUUCUCACAGUUCUACCACAGAAUCCAAUAAACUCAAAACUACACUGAUCUAUAACUAUUCUAUUUACAUCUUUGAUGCUUUUUCAGUUUGAUUUUAUAUAUUGGAUUUUCCUUACAGCCUUUAUUUGGUAUUCAGAAGAAAUACUGAGAUCUCUUGCUAUUUUCUAGAUUUUUUGAAAAGUUUCUCAUUUUUUCUUCGGAUUUCCAAUAUCCUUAUUGUGGUCUCCCUUUUUAAAUGAAAUUCAAUGACAUUUAAGUCUGCCUCCUGAAAGGAGUUCAGCAUCACGUUGGACUCAUAUCUCCAUCUCAGUCCAAAAGCAAUCAAAAUCUGCCCAUAUGGGUGGUGGGGGAUCUUGCUCACUUGGAUGUGGGAAAAGAGCAGAAUGUGAGUAGUUUGAUGUAAUUUUAAAAUCCUGGUAAAGGCAGAGAAAUACAGACAGUCAGCAAUCAGAAUAUCUGACUUUGUGGGGGCUGGAGAGGUAGUAGAAAUUGAGAAGUUGCCAGUAAAAUAGCUGAAAAUUGAGUCUGCUAUGAUUAUUUACGGCCUCUUCAAAGAUUGUUUCAUUGCUUUUGAGCUAUUUUGAGGUUUGCUUUGAUAUUCCAGCUGGGAAUCUUACAUGUGUAUGUUUAUUCCUUCUUAACAAUAGGGAAGUAAUUAAGCAUUUGCAUUACUGCCAAAACAAUGUACUUUUCUUGAAGUAAGCUUUAUAUGCCACCCAAAGAAAAGUACUCCUUAAAAAUUUGUUGUUUUUACGUUGUAUAUAAGGUGGAUCCCAGAGUGGUUUUUGUAUUAUUGUUUUUUAAAGUCUAAAAUGUUACUCUUCCCAAAAGUCAGUCUGAAAAAUAAAAGAUCCACUAACAGAUGUGGCUCAAAGCCAAGCGUCGGUGUGCUUUGAGACGGUGCAGGUGCUGCUCUUUGUCAGCGUUGCUAAGAAAUGACAAGUUUGGAAUUUUCUAAUUAGUAAGAAAUAAAUGCGUUGAAAAAGCUGAAGUGGCCAUGUUAGUCACACUGGGAACGGGACCGAAUGAAAGGCUGCUGCUGUCAGUCAGCAUUCUCCUCUGUUUGCGAGACACCCUUCUGUAAUUAGGCCAAGAAGGUCAAAGGAGAGAAAGGCUGAGCUCUGUUAUACUGAGCUGGCUGAGUCAAGGAUAAGAAGUUUCUAGUUAAAUCAAUAGCAACUACUUCAGCAGCUAAAUAGCUUGAGGCAUUGCUUUAAUUUGCUAAUUGUAUUUGU